rnacentral:rRNA from 1 species
GAAGCGAGGCUGUGAAGCGGAGCAAAUCUCAAAAACCGGUCCCAGUUCGGAUUGUAGGCUGCAACUCGCCUACAUGAAGUCGGAGUUGCUAGUAAUCGCGGAUCAGAAUGCCGCGGUGAAUGCGUUCCCGGGUCUUGUACACACCGCCCGUCACACCAUGGAAGUUGGGGGCGCCCGAAGUUGCCUAAGAAAUAAGGUACCUAAGGCGAAACCAAUGACUGGGGUGAAGUCGUAACAAGGUAGC